GCCUACACAUGCAGUCGAGGGGUAACGUAAGUGCUUGCACUUGACGACGACCGGCGCACGGGUGCGGAACGCGUAUGGAACCUACCUUUAUCAGGGGGAUAGCCCAUGGAAACGUGGAUUAAUACCCCAUAGUAUUAAAUCAUUGCAUGAUGAUUUAAUUAAAGAAUUUCGGAUAGAGAUGGCCAUGCGUAUCAUUAGCUAGUAGGCGAGGUAACGGCUCACCUAGGCGACGAUGAUUAGGGGUCCUGAGAGGGAGAUCCCCCACACUGGUACUGAGACACGGACCAGACUCCUACGGGAGGCAGCAGUGAGGAAUAUUGGGCAAUGGAGGCAACUCUGACCCAGCCAUGCCGCGUGCAGGAAGACGGCCCUAUGGGUUGUAAACUGCUUUUAUACAGGAAGAACACCACCCACGUGUGGGUGACUGACGGUACUGUAAGAAUAAGGACCGGCUAACUCCGUGCCAGCAGCCGCGGUAAUACGGAGGGUCCAAGCGUUAUCCGGAAUCAUUGGGUUUAAAGGGUCCGUAGGCGGGCUAAUAAGUCAGAGGUGAAAGUUUGCAGCUCAACUGUAAAAUUGCCUUUGAUACUGUUAGUCUUGAGUUAUAGUGAAGUGGUUAGAAUAAGUGGUGUAGCGGUGAAAUGCAUAGAUAUCACUUAGAAUACCGAUUGCGAAGGCAGAUCACUAACUGUAUACUGACGCUGAGGGACGAAAGCAUGGGUAGCGAACGGGAUUAGAUACCCCGGUAGUCCAUGCUGUAAACGAUGGAUACUAGCUGUUGGCUUCGGUCAGUGGCUAAGCGAAAGUGAUAAGUAUCCCACCUGGGGAGUACGUUCGCAAGAAUGAAACUCAAAGGAAUUGACGGGGACC
rnacentral:rRNA from 1 species